rnacentral:rRNA from 1 species
AUUGAACGCUGGCGGCAGGCCUAACACAUGCAAGUCGAGCGGAUGAAGGGAGCUUGCUCCUGGAUUCAGCGGCGGACGGGUGAGUAAUGCCUAGGAAUCUGCCUGGUAGUGGGGGAUAACGUCCGGAAACGGGCGCUAAUACCGCAUACGUCCUGAGGGAGAAAGUGGGGGAUCUUCGGACCUCACGCUAUCAGAUGAGCCUAGGUCGGAUUAGCUAGUUGGUGGGGUAAAGGCCUACCAAGGCGACGAUCCGUAACUGGUCUGAGAGGAUGAUCAGUCACACUGGAACUGAGACACGGUCCAGACUCCUACGGGAGGCAGCAGUGGGGAAUCUUGGCCACUGGGCGCAAGCCUGAUCCAGCCCUGCCGCGUGUGUGAAGAAGGUCUUCGGAUUGUAAAGCACUUUAAGUUGGGAGGAAGGGCAGUAAGUUAAUACCUUGCUGUUUUGACGUUACCCACAGAAUAAGCACCGGCUCACUUCGUG